AUUGAACGCUGGCGGCAGGCCUAACACAUGCAAGUCGAACGAGUGGCGGACGGGUGUGUAAUGUCUGGGAAAUUGCUUGUUGGAGGGGGAUAACUACUGGAAACGGUAGCUAAUACCGCAUACCAUCCGAUUUGCCCAGAUGGGAUUGGCUAGUUGGUGGGGAAACGGCUCACCAAGGCGACGAUCCCUAGCUGGUCUGAGAGGGUGACCAGCAAGACGGGAACUAGGACCCGAUCAGGACUCCUACGAGAGGCAGCAGAGGGGAAUAUUGCACAAUGGGCGCAAGCCUGAUGCAGCCAUGCCGCGUGUAUGAAGAAGGCCUUCGGGUUGUAAAGUACUUUCAGCGGGGAGGCGUUACCCGCAGAAGAAGCACCGGCUAACUCCGUGCCAGCAGCCGCGGUAAUAC
rnacentral:rRNA from 1 species